CACAUACUCCCUUUGUCCGGAAAUACUCGUCGGAGGAAUGGAUGUAUCUAGAUGUAUUCUAGUUUUAGAUACAUUCAUUUUUAUGCAUUUCUUCGACAAGUAUUUUCGGACGGAGGAAGUAUAUG
rnacentral:pre_miRNA from 1 species